rnacentral:rRNA from 1 species
GUAGUCAUAUGCUUGUCUCAAAGAUUAAGCCAUGCAUGUCUAAGUAUAAGCAAUCUAUACAGUGAAACUGCGAAUGGCUCAUUGAAUCAGUUAUCGUUUAUUUGAUAGUACCUUACUACUUGGAUAACCGUGGUAAUUCUAGAGCUAAUACACGCUAAAAACCCCGACUUCGGAAGGGGUGUAUUUAUUAGAUAAAAAACCAAUGCUCUUCGGGGCUCCUUGGUGAUUCAUAAUAACUUAACGAAUCGCAUGGCCUUGUGCCGGCGAUGGUUCAUUCAAAUUUCUGCCCUAUCAACUUUCGAUGGUAGGAUAGUGGCCUACCAUGGUUUCAACGGGUAACGGGGAAU